GAUGAACGCUGGCGGCGUGCCUAAUACAUGCAAGUCGAGCGAAUGGAUUAAGAGCUUGCUCUUAUGAAGUUAGCGGCGGACGGGUGAGUAACACGUGGGCAACCUGACCAUAAGACUGGGAUACCUCCGGGAAACCGGGGCUAAUACCGGAUAACAUUUUGAACCGCAUGGUUCGAAAUUGAAAGGCGGCUUCGGCUGUCACUUAUGGCUGGACCCGCGUCGCAUUAGCUAGUUGGUGAGGUAACGGCGCACCAAGGCAACGAUGCGUAGCCGACCUGAGAGGGUGAUCGGCCACACUGGGACUGAGACACGGCCCAGACUCCUACGGGAGGCAGCAGUAGGGAAUCUUCCGCAAUGGACGAAAGUCUGACGGAGCAACGCCGCGUGAGUGAUGAAGGCUCUCGGGUCGUAAAACUCUGUUGUUAGGGAAGAACAAGUGCUAGUUGAAUAAGCUGGCACCUUGACGGUACCUAACCAGAAAGCCACGGCUAACUACGUGCCAGCAGCCGCAGUAA
rnacentral:rRNA from 1 species